rnacentral:rRNA from 1 species
AUGCCGCGUGUGUGAAGAAGGCCUUCGGGUUGUAAAGCACUUUCAGUCGUGAGGAAGGUAGUGUAGUUAAUAGCUGCAUUAUUUGACGUUAGCGACAGAAGAAGCACCGGCUAACUCCGUGCCAGCAGCCGCGGUAAUACGGAGGGUGCGAGCGUUAAUCGGAAUUACUGGGCGUAAAGCGCAUGCAGGUGGUUUGUUAAGUCAGAUGUGAAAGCCCGGGGCUCAACCUCGGAAUAGCAUUUGAAACUGGCAGACUAGAGUACUGUAGAGGGGGGUAGAAUUUCAGGUGUAGCGGUGAAAUGCGUAGAGAUCUGAAGGAAUACCGGUGGCGAAGGCGGCCCCCUGGACAGAUACUGACACUCAGAUGCGAAAGCGUGGGGAGCAAACAGGAUUAGAUACCCUGGUAGUCCACGCCGUAAACGAUGUCUACUUGGAGGUUGUGGCCUUGAGCCGUGGCUUUCGGAGCUAACGCGUUAAGUAGACCGCCUGGGGAGUACGGUCGCAAGAUUAAAACUCAAAUGAAUUGACGGGGGCCCGCACAAGCGGUGGAGCAUGUGGUUUAAUUCGAUGCAACGCGAAGAACCUUACCUACUCUUGACAUCCAGAGAACUUUCCAGAGAUGGAUUGGUGCCUUCGGGAACUCUGAGACAGGUGCUGCAUGGCUGUCGUCAGCUCGUGUUGUGAAAUGUUGGGUUAAGUCCCGCAACGAGCGCAACCCUUAUCCUUGUUUGCCACUCUUCUGGUGGGAACUCC